UCCCUAGUAGCUCAGAUGGUAAAGCAUCUGCCUGCAAUGUAGGAGACCUGGGUUCAGUCCCUGGGUAGGGAA
rnacentral:tRNA from 1 species